AUUGAACGCUGGCGGCAGGCCUAACACAUGCAAGUCGAGCGGAGCGGCGGACGGGUGAGUAAUGCCUAGGAAUCUGCCUGGUAGUGGGGGAUAACGUCCGGAACCGGGCGCUAAUACCGCAUACUAUCACAUGAGCCUAGGUCGGAUUCGCUAGUUGGUGGGGUAAAGGCCUACCAAGGCGACGAUCCGUAACUGGUCUGAGAGGAUGAUCAGUCAAAUGGGAACUGAGAAACGGUCCAAACUCCUACGGGAGGCAGCAGUGGGGAAUAUGGCACAAGGGGCGCAAGCCUGAUGCAGCCAUGCCGCGUGUGUGAAGAAGGCCUUCGGGUUGUAAAGCACGUUCAGCGGGGAGGCGUUACCCGCAGAAGAAGCACCGGCUAACUCCGUGCCAGCAGCCGCGGUAAUUC
rnacentral:rRNA from 1 species